CGCCUGGGGAGUGCGGCCGCAAGGUUAAAACUCAAAUGAAUUGACGGGGGCCCGCACAAGCGGUGGAGCAUGUGGUUUAAUUCGACGCAACGCGAAGAACCUUACCUGGCCUUGACAUGCAGAGAACUUUCCAGAGAUGGAUUGGUGCCUUCGGGAACUCUGACACAGGUGCUGCAUGGCCGUCGUCAGCUCGUGUCGUGAGAUGUUGGGUUAAGUCCCGUAACGAGCGCAACCCCUAUCCCUAGUUGCUAGCAGUUCGGCUGAGAACUCUAGGGAGACUGCCGGUGACAAACCGGAGGAAGGUGGGGAUGACGUCAGGUCAUCAUGGCCCUUACGGCCAGGGCUACACACGUGCUACAAUAGUGCGCACAGAGGGCUGCAAACCCGCGAGGGGGAGCCAAUCUCACAAAACGCAUCGUAGUCCGGAUCGCAGUCUGCAACUCGACUGCGUGAAGUCGGAAUCGCUAGUAAUCGUGAAUCAGAAUGUCACGGUGAAUACGUUCCCGGGCCUUGUACACACCGCCCGUCACACCAUGGGAGUGGAUUGCACCAGAAGUGGUUAGUCUAACCUUCGGGAGGACGAUCACCACGGUGUGGUUCAUGACUGGGGUGAAGUCGUAACAAGGUAACCGUA
rnacentral:rRNA from 1 species